rnacentral:rRNA from 1 species
CAAGUCGAACGCGAAAGGGGCUUCGGUCCUGAGUAGAGUGGCGAACGGGUGAGUAACACGUGGGUGAUCUACCUUCGAGUGGGGGAUAACGUCCCGAAAGGGACGCUAAUACCGCAUGACGUUCUGGGUUUAAAGACCUGGAAACCAAAGCCGGGGACCGCAAGGCCUGGCGCUUGGAGAGGAGCCCGCGUCCGAUUAGCUAGUUGGCGGGGUAACGGCCCACCAAGGCGACGAUCGGUAGCCGGCCUGAGAGGGCGGACGGCCACACUGGAACUGAGACACGGUCCAGACUCCUACGGGAGGCAGCAGUGGGGAAUUGUUCACAAUGGGCGCAAGCCUGAUGACGCAACGCCGCGUGGGGGAUGAAGGUCUUCGGAUCGUAAACCCCUGUCGAACGGGAAGAAAGACCCGGGAGCUAAUCAUCCUGGGAGUGACGGUACCGUUAAAGGAAGCCACGGCUAACUCUGUGCCAGCAGCCGCGGUAAUACAGAGGUGGCAAGCGUUGUUCGGAAUUACUGGGCGUAAAGGGCGCGUAGGCGGCCUUCUAAGUCAGACGUGAAAUCCCCCGGCUUAACCUGGGAACUGCGUCUGAUACUGGGAGGCUAGAGUAUGGGAGAGGGAUGUAGAAUUCCAGGUGUAGCGGUGAAAUGCGUAGAUAUCUGGAGGAAUACCGGUGGCGAAGGCGGCAUCCUGGACCAUUACUGACGCUGAGGCNCGAAAGCUAGGGGAGCAAACGGGAUUAGAUACCCCGGUAGUCCUAGCCCAAACC